GACGAACGCUGGCGGCGUGCUUAACACAUGCAAGUCGAACGAAGAGCGAUGGAAGCUUGCUUCUAUCAAUCUUAGUGGCGAACGGGUGAGUAACGCGUAAUCAACCUGCCCUUCAGAGGGGGACAACAGUUGGAAACGACUGCUAAUACCGCAUGCGAUCUGACCUCGGCAUCGAGGAUGGAUGAAAGGUGGCCUCUAUUCAUAAGCUAUCACUGAAGGAGGGGAUUGCGUCUGAUUAGCUAGUUGGAGGGGUAACGGCCCACCAAGGCGAUGAUCAGUAGCCGGUCUGAGAGGAUGAACGGCCACAUUGGGACUGAGACACGGCCCAGACUCCUACGGGAGGCAGCAGUGGGGAAUCUUCCGCAAUGGACGAAAGUCUGACGGAGCAACGCCGCGUGAGUGAUGACGGCCUUCGGGUUGUAAAGCUCUGUUAAUCGGGACGAAAGGCCUUCUUGCGAAUAGUUAGAAGGAUGACGG
rnacentral:rRNA from 1 species